rnacentral:rRNA from 1 species
UACGUAGGGUGCAAACGUUAAUCGGAAUUACUGGGCGUAAAGCGUGCGCAGGCGGUUGUGCAAGACAGAUGUGAAAUCCCCGGGCUCAACCUGGGAACUGCAUUUGUGACUGCACGGCUAGAGUGUGUCAGAGGGGGGUAGAAUUCCACGUGUAGCAGUGAAAUGCGUAGAUAUGUGGAGGAAUACCGAUGGCGAAGGCAGCCCCCUGGGAUAACACUGACGCUCAUGCACGAAAGCGUGGGGAGCAAACAGG